rnacentral:lncRNA from 1 species
AUUCAGUCAGCAUCAGGGCUUCAACCCUAAACUGAACUCUUUCCAUUUAGCCAGCAUUAGGGCUUCAACCCUGAACUGAACCUUUCCAUUCAGUCAGCAUCAGGGCUCCAACCCUGAAUUGAACUCUUUCCAUUUAGCCAGCAUUAGGGCUUCAACCCUAAACUGAGCAUUGUCUGUUAGUCAGCAUUGGGGUUCCAACCCUGAACUGAACUUUUCCAUUCAGUCAGCAUCAGGGCUUCAACCCUGAACUGAACUCUUUCCAUUUAGCCAGCAUUAGGGCUUCAACCCUGAACUGAGCAUUGUCUGUUAGUCAGCAUUGGGGUUCCAACCUUGAACUGAACUUUUCCAUUUAGUCAGCAUCAGGUCUCCAACCCUGAACUGAACUCUUUCCAUUUAGCCAGCAUUAGGGCUCCACCCUGAACUGAGCAUUGUCCGUUAGUCAGCAUUGGGGCUCCAACCCUGAACUGAACUUUUCCAUUUAAUCCGCAUCAGGGCUCCAACCCUGAACUGAACUCUUUC